AACAGGAUUAGAUACCCUGGUAGUCCAUGCCGUAAACGAUGUCUACUAGCCGUUGGGGCCUUUGAGGCUUUAGUGGCGCAGCUAACGCGAUAAGUAGACCGCCUGGGGAGUACGGUCGCAAGACUAAAACUCAAAUGAAUUGACGGGGGCCCGCACAAGCGGUGGAGCAUGUGGUUAAUUCGAUGCAACGCGAAGAACCUUACCUGGCCUUGACAUACUAAGAACUUUCCAGAGAUGGAUUGGUGCCUUCGGGAACUUAGAUACAGGUGCUGCAUGGCUGUCGUCAGCUCGUGUCGUGAGAUGUUGGGUUAAGUCCCGCAACGAGCGCAACCCUUUUCCUUAUUUGCCAGCGGGUCAUGCCGGGAACUUUAAGGAUACUGCCAGUGACAAACUGGAGGAAGGCGGGGACGACGUCAAGUCAUCAUGGCCCUUACGGCCAGAGCUACACACGUGCUACAAUGGUCGGUACAAAGGGUUGCUACCUCGCGAGAGGAUGCUAAUCUCAAAAAGCCGAUCGUAGUCCGGAUCGCAGUCUGCAACUCGACAGCGUGAAGUCGGAAUCGCUAGUAAUCGCGGAUCAGAAUGCCGCGGUGAAUACGUUCCCGGGCCUUGUACACACCGCCCGUCACACCAUGGGAGUUUGUUGCACCAGAAGUAGGUAGUCUAACCUUAGGGAGGACGCUUACCACGGUGUGGCCGAUGACUGGGGUGAAGUCGUAACAAGGUAACC
rnacentral:rRNA from 1 species